CAGUAGCCACGGUAAUACGGAGGGAGCUAGCGUUGUUCGGAAUUACUGGGCGUAAAGCGCACGUAGGCGGCUUUGUAAGUUAGAGGUGAAAGCCUGGAGCUCAACUCCAGAAUUGCCUUUAAGACUGCAUCGCUUGAAUCCGAGAGAGGUGAGUGGAAUUCCGAGUGUAGAGGUGAAAUUCGUAGAUAUUCGGAAGAACACCAGUGGCGAAGGCGGCUCACUGGCUCGGUAUUGACGCUGAGGUGCGAAAGCGUGGGGAGCAAACAGGAUUAGAUACCCGGGUAGUCCCUGUCUCUUAUAC
rnacentral:rRNA from 1 species